rnacentral:rRNA from 1 species
GUGGGGAAUAUUGCACAAUGGGGGAAACCCUGAUGCAGCAACGCCGCGUGAAGGAAGACGGUUUUCGGAUUGUAAACUUCUUUUCUUUGUGAAGAAACAAAUGACGGUAGCAAAGGAAUAAGCAUCGGCUAACUACGUGCCAGCAGCCGCGGUAAUACGUAGGAUGCAAGCGUUAUCCGGAUUUACUGGGUGUAAAGGGAGCGCAGGCGGGACUUCAAGUUGGAUGUGAAAGGUCAAGGCUUAACCUUGGCACUGCAUCCAAAACUGUAGUUCUUGAGUGGAGUAGAGGUAAGCGGAAUUCCGAGUGUAGCGGUGAAAUGCGUAGAUAUUCGGAGGAACACCAGUGGCGAAGGCGGCUUACUGGGCUCUAACUGACGCUGAGGCUCGAAAGUGUGGGGAGCAAACAGGAUUAGAAACCCUAGUAGUCC